ACAUUUAUUCAAUAUGGAAUAAAUCAAUCAAUUUUGUCAACUGUAUAGUUUUAAAUAUUAUUGCAAAAGUAUAAGUUAUUUAGUAAGUAAUAGCUAUUACUAAAUUUAUUCAUAAAACUCAUUAUUUGCAGCAUAAUAAACAAAAAAUACAAUGCAAAGUUGGAACCAUAAAAGAAAUAUUUACUGAUUGCACGGUACACAGAAUUAAUUUGCGCCAACAAUAAAAGCUUAAAAAACUUUAAUUGAGCAUGGCGCACUCUAUGCGCCAACAAGACCACUUAAGUGUUAACGAUACCUUAUACAGUUACUGACGCUAAUUACUACGAAGCCACGUGGCUUAUUUAACUUUUCCAGGAAGAAACACGAUCUCGCAUGAUUGUAACUCUAACAGCAAUGAACUACAAGCUGUUCAAUGCUGCGCGCGAUAAAUCGAUCAUGAAUUAUCAAAUCGGUCGAUUUGAUAUGGAAAUGGAGUCCGAUGUCGAUUUAUCUUCUGACGGCCGUAGAAUCAUGCGUUCAACGAGCUGUUCACGACAUUCGCACGAACGUACAAAGCCGACCAAUUUGCCGGAUAAGCACUUAAGAAACACCGUCGCAUCUAUAGUAAGUCAUAUAUUUCUCUUUUAUAACAUAUUUUAUUGAUUUUUGUAUCGAAAGAACUAAAAUAAGUAUUUAUGUUAUAGUAAGCAAUGUAGAGUUAAAAUUCAAGUUAUAACGUUGAAAAUUAAUUUCAAUUACAAAUAUAUUCUACGAUUAUGUACUGGCAA